AGGUGUGAGGGUUAUCUGGCUGAGACUUCCGCCAUCCCACUGAUCACCAGGACUGAGUCUGCUGAUCCAUCCUGCUAGGCCAGUGUCCAGCUUCCUCCUCCACCUGCCCAGGUACAUGCCUCCUGAAGAUGCACCAGCCCUGAGGACGACAACACUCCCUAUCAGGAGAUUGCUCUCCGGUCAGGGUACACGCAGAGCUGCACCCUCCUGUUGCAGAUGCCAAACAAGCUCUCGUUUGUUUGAGACUGGGCCUCUCUACAGAGUCCCUGACCUCCUGGAAUGUGCUAUGUAGACAGGCUCGGGUUAGGCUCUCUUCAUACAAGAAACAUUAGCUGGAGGCUGGAGAACGAGCUCAGCAGCUCCUAGC
rnacentral:snRNA from 1 species